ACUAAAAUUCGGCUUUUAUGACUGCGGUUUCCAAACCAGUACCAAUCGACAGUUUUGCGGACCUCACAGCGAAUUUUACGACACCAAGUUUUUUCUAUUAGAAAUUAGAACCGUCCUUUGUGCCUGGACGACUUCACUGGAAGUUUUGGCUGUUAUCGCUAUUGGAUGUGUUGCACAGACUGCGCAUCUAUCAUGCCCGGAAGUCUGUGCUGGAAAUUGAUUGUUGUUAUCCUUAUUAGAUUUAUUGUACAAAUUGUGCAUUUGUCGUGCCCGGAUUACUGAGCUGAAGAUUGUUGGCUGUUAUUACUGUUGGAAUUAUUGCAAUUACUGUACAUGGCUUGGGACGCAAAACAGUUUCGCUACUGUUAUACCACAGAAUAAACAGAAUGCACACUGAUAAAAAAUUACAUGGUCAAUAUAGGGAGGUGAUUAGAAUCAGUACACCAUUUUUAUGUAGGUAUUACAAUGUGACCACUUUUCAACACUAAAAUUGUGUAUACCUUUU